GAGAAGGAAGGGAGGAAGAGAGAGAGAAAGAUCAAACCUUAACCGAUUUGAGUGAUUCAAAAGCCUAAAUCGCUUAGAAUCUCGCCCUCUUUCAUAAUCCUUGCUUUGUUUUGAGUGGGGAGCAUUGUGGAGAGGGAUAUUGCCUCUCAAAAAUUCGGCCAUUGGAGAGAUUUUGGGGUUUUGGGAAGUUCAACCUCCAUAGGAGCUUGAGGAACACUCCUUGCUUGGUUGUGUGACCCUUGGUGGAUUGAGACAUUUGGACCGACCGUGAGUGAUCAACCGCUUGAGCAAGCUAUGGAGCUUGAGUAGCUCAUUGGAAUUGGUGUUGGUUUUGGAGUAGAGUAUUGUUGACAUUGGUGGUGAACAAAGGUCGAAUUGAAGCUUGAGGUAAGGAUGCUGCAGGAGCCUCUGGUGGCAAGUGGCCAUAUCUGGAUUAUGCAUGAAAUGUGGCAUUUCUUUUGAGAUUGUACAUGUUGUUUUGUAGCUCACAUGUAUAGAAUUAAAUGAAUAGGCAAUGCUAGAUUUAUGAUUUGUAUAUUGGAAUGGACUUAGCCUAUGCUCAUGCCUUUGGUCAUCUCUUUUGUUGAUGGGAGCCAAGGGAAUGAUCAUAGUGUUUUGUAAGCUAAGUUCCAUGAUUUGUAAUGGAUAUGUAAUGUAAAUGAU